UUUGGUGGUUAUAGCGAGGGGGAAACACUUCUUCCCAUUCCGAACAGAGCGGUUAAGCCCCUCAGCGCCGAUGGUACUGGGAUUUCCCGGGAGAGUAGGUCGCUGCCAAUU
rnacentral:rRNA from 1 species